AGGAAAGUCGUGAUGUAUUUUUCUGUUUCUCUAUGCACAGAUGCAUCUCGACUUUCCUGA
rnacentral:pre_miRNA from 1 species